rnacentral:rRNA from 2 species
GGGUUGUGAGGUUAAGCGACUAAGCGUACACGGUGGAUGCCCUGGCAGUCAGAGGCGAUGAAGGGCGUGCUAAUCUGCGAUAAGCGCCGGUAAGGUGAUAUGAACCGUUAUAACCGGCGAUACCCGAAUGGGGAAACCCAGUGUGACUCGUCACACUAUCAUUAACUGAAUCCAUAGGUUAAUGAGGCGAACCGGGGGAACUGAAACAUCUAAGUACCCCGAGGAAAAGAAAUCAACCGAGAUUCCCCCAGUAGCGGCGAGCGAACGGGGAGGAGCCCAGAGCCUGAAUCAGCAUGUGUGUUAGUGGAAGCGUCUGGAAAGGCGCGCGAUACAGGGUGACAGCCCCGUACACAAAAGCGCAUGUGCUGUGAGCUCGAUGAGUAGGGCGGGACACGUGGUAUCCUGUCUGAAUAUGGGGGGACCAUCCUCCAAGGCUAAAUACUCCUGACUGACCGAUAGUGAACCAGUACCGUGAGGGAAAGGCGAAAAGAACCCCGGCGAGGGGAGUGAAAAAGAACCUGAAACCGUGUACGUACAAGCAGUGGGAGCACAGGUUUACCUGUGUGACUGCGUACCUUUUGUAUAAUGGGUCAGCGACUUAUAUUCUGUAGCAAGGUUAACCGUAUAGGGGAGCCGUAGGGAAACCGAGUCUUAAC